CGCCCUGUCGCGCAGCGCCAUUGGCUGGGUCCGACGGAGGGGGCGGUGCCGCCCGGCCCGUCGGGGCUCGCGGCUGGCCCUGCACCGGAGCCGCCGUGAGGGCCCGUCCUGCCGUGGCGGGCAGCGCUCGGCGCGCUGAGGGGGGAGCGUGGCGCUUAGCAGGGCAGGAGAGCCCUGGAGCUUCGGAGCCCCUUUUUCAGAGACAAUCUGGAGAAGAAGGAAGUCCAAGAACUAAGCUGGAGGGGAAGAAAACAUGCUUGGAUAAUGUGCUGCACACUGGUGGGAGUGAUGGAGGAGAGAGCUGAGCAGAGAAAAGACAGCUCAGUUUGGACACAUCUCUGAGGAGCCAGAGCAGAGCUGCCUGCACUGGAAAUGGGCGUGGUAUCUGCAGCACAGGUCUCCAUAUCUUUGACAGAGAGACUUAGAGGAAGAAGAAUGAAAAUGCUGAACCUCUCUCAGCUCUGGUAGUUAUGGACAAGCGACUCAGGGGCUUUGAGCACCAGCCUCUGUUAGCUGUAAAUACAAACCACUGAAAAGCACCAGAACUUUCCCACUGAAGUAAAGGCAUCGGGAACAGGAGAUUAAUGGGUUGCCAGCUGUGUCGGCAUGAUAAGCCAAGCAAGAACUCAGACUCUUUCAGUCAAAAAUGGAUUGAGACCUCAGCAGGGACACAUGGCAAAUCAGCCAGAAGCCACACAUGGAAAACUGAGCAAGGCAGCAUGGGCAAACAUUCCUUAUCUUCGCUUUACGUCAAUAGAAAUGGCAUUGUAAAAGAGGCAGCAAAGUAUUGGCUGGAGAGGAGGAGGGAAAAGUCCACAAACUUUCUUGGCCGUACAUGUAGGUUUUAAAAUGCUACUGUUUUCCUCGGAAACUUGUCAUUGAAAACAAGUAUCCAGCAAAAACCACCCAGCAAGUUCUUCCAGAAGGCUCAUUUGCUUGUUUUGGUGGAUUUAGCCAAGUUGUGCUGGCAGGAAUCUGCCUGCCACUGCUGUUGUGCUCCAGAGGCGGUCGGGAAAGUACAACCUCUUAAACCAGGCUAAAGCACAGCUGUGAUAAUUACUCCAUCUACUAUGAUUUGCCACAAAAUAGGGCUCAGGGGAGAGGCAGACCUCAGAAGUCUGGGCUUUCUACAAGGUGAUGUUGUCUGCAGCCAUGUCCCUGUUUCCCACAGCUCCUGCUUUUACAGCAGCCUAGCCAAUUAUCUUCAUUAGCCUUUUCUUUGCUUUCUGGUUUUAUUGUUUUUGUUAAGGCUAAUUAACAGAAGAGUGGAUGAG